rnacentral:lncRNA from 1 species
UGGGCAAAGAUAUUGAAGUGGUCUGCCAUUUCCUUCUCCAUCUCAUUGGAGUACUGAAGAAACUGAGGCAAACUGUGCCCAGGGUCACAUAGCUAAUAAAUGUCUGAGGCUAUAUUUGAACUUGAGGAGAAUGACUCCAGUACCCUAUUCAUUAUAUCACCUAACAACCCUCCAAGCACUCAUAGUAGAGAAACAAGAGCUGGAACACUACUGCCUCCAAGGACUAAAGAGAGGAAUGCCCCCAGCAUACUGAGAGUAGAUCCCAUGGAAGAUUUAUAAAAAAGAUGUGGAGAGAGCUGCACAGGAUGAUGGAAGAAAGUUGGUUUAACAAUCUCCACCUUUGGAGAGAGUCCCUGCAUCAAUGCAUUCACAGGACCAUUAGAGUAUUAAAAUACAGAUAAUGGAAGAACAAUAAUAUUUGUAUGAAAUAAACU